GAUGAACGCUAGCGGCGUGCCUAAUGCAUGCAAGUCGAACGGGAUCCUUUGGAAUUAUUCUGAAGGUGAGAGUGGCGAACGGGUGAGUAACACGUUGGUGACCUACCCCAGAGAGGGGAAUAACUAUUGGAAACGAUAGCUAAUACCCCAGAUGUCAUUAUGGUUAGAGAGUAAUGACUAAAUGCUCCGGUGCUCUGGGAGGGGCCUGCGGCCCAUCAGCUAGUUGGUAGGGUAAUGGCUUACCAAGGCAAAGACGGGUAGGGGGCGUGAGAGCGUGACCCCCCACACUGGUACUGACACACGGACCAGAUACCUACGGGUAGCAGCAGCAAGGAAUAUUGCCCAAUGGACGCAAGUCUGAGGCAGCAACGCCGCGUGGAGGAUGAAGGCCUUCGGGUUGUAAACUCCUUUUCUGGGGGAAGAGAAAGGACGGUACCCCAGGAAUAAGUCUCGGCUAACUACGUG
rnacentral:rRNA from 1 species